GACGAACGCUGGCGGCGUGCCUAAUACAUGCAAGUCGAGCGGGCCUCCGGAGGUGCUUGCACCUCCGGAAGGCCAGCGGCGGACGGGUGAGUAACACGUGGGCAACCUGCCUUUGAGGCCGGGAUAACACCGGGAAACCGGUGCUAAUACCGGAUGCGUCCCCUUUCGCGCCUGCGAGAGGGGAGAAAGACGGUCUUUAAGGCCGUCGCUCAAAGAGGGGCCCGCGGCGCAUUAGCUGGUUGGUGGGGUAAGGGCCUACCAAGGCGACGAUGCGUUGCCGACCUGAGAGGGUGAUCGGCCACACUGGGACUGAGACACGGCCCAGACUCCUGCGGGAGGCAGCAGUAGGGAAUCAUCCGCAAUGGGCGAAAGCCUGACGGUGCAACGCCGCGUGAGUGAGGAAGGUUUUCGGAUCGUAAAGCUCUGUUCUGAGGGAAAAACAGCUUCCGGAGGAAAUGCCGGAGGUUUGCCGGUACCUCACCAGAAAGCCCCGGCUAACUACGUGCCAGCAGCCGCGGUAA
rnacentral:rRNA from 1 species